AAAUUACUCUGAACUAUAAUUAUCUCUUUUGUCUUUUCACUAUUAUUUCUGUUUGUAAAUAGUAUAUUGCUCUUUAUUCAUGGUUAUUGAAAAAUAGGGGCCUUACUUAAAAGUCCAACUGGAUUUCCAAAGGUCCCUAGCCCUUUAUAUUAUUAUAUUCUCAUAUGCUUUGUAUGUACUAUUUAAAACAUGAGCAGCAGUGUUUUAUCAGAUAUAAAGAUACGAGGCGAAGCCGAGUAUCUUUAGGUCUGAUAAAACACGCACUGCGAAUGUUUUAAAUUGCUUCAAAAACGAUCGAUCUAGUAAGUUCAUUGGCGAAGUNNNNNNNNNNNNNNNNNNNNUUUUCAAAAAAUACGUUGUGUAAGUCGAGAAAAUCAAAGUUAAAGUUUAUGUAAAUCAAGGGAAAUCUCUAUCACAUAUAAAGAUACGAC
rnacentral:lncRNA from 1 species